rnacentral:lncRNA from 1 species
CCUCAUUGGGAUCGUCUUCAUGUAUUAGAGAAGUUCCACACACAUUGAGCCUCACAAAGGAAGGGGUCUGGGUAUCAGAUUCCCUCUUCGCAGGAAGUGCCUUUGGAAAUUUACUUACUGCCGACUGAGAAGCUCUGCAAGCUGAAAGGUUAUUACCAAGAGCACAGUUUCAUCUGGACCUGCAGGCUGGUGAGGCCAGGAGAGAUUCACUCAGGGGCCAGUCCAAAAAACAGAACCUGGCUAGGAAUUUCAAACAGGUAACUUUUGAGAAAGGGUUUCAUUGGGGGUUUAGUGAACGUUAAAAAACUGCACAUAUUCAAAGUACACAAUUUGGUAAGUUUUGGCAUAAGUACACGCCC